CCAGACUCCUACGGGAGGCAGCAGUGAGGAAUAUUGGUCAAUGGCCGAGAGGCUGAACCAGCCAAGUCGCGUGAGGGAUGACGGCCCUACGGGUUGUAAACCUCUUUUGCCGGGGAGCAAAGAGCGGGACGCGUCCCGCCUCGAGAGUACCCGGAGAAAAAGCAUCGGCUAACUCCGUGCCAGCAGCCGCGGUAAUACGGAGGAUGCGAGCGUUAUCCGGAUUUAUUGGGUUUAAAGGGUGCGCAGGCGGCUUGUUAAGUCGGGGGUAAAGGCCGGGGGCUCAACCCCGGCGAGCCGUUGAAACUGGCGGGCUGGAGUUGGAGAGAAGUACGCGGAAUGCGCGGUGUAGCGGUGAAAUGCAUAGAUAUCACGCAGAACUCCGAUUGCGAAGGCAGCGUACCGGCGCCCAACUGACGCUGAAGCACGAAGGCGUGGGUAUCGAACAGGAUUAGAUACCCCCGUACA
rnacentral:rRNA from 1 species